rnacentral:ribozyme from 1 species
GCCUUGGUGAAGCUCUGGCCACCCCAUCCGGAAACCUGUCAAGCUCGGCAGCACGGACUA